UAUAUGAUACAAAGCGUCCUCUAUAGAUAUAUUUUUUAAAAGUAAAUAUAAAAAAAAACACCGACCACCGGCACCCGACGCGACUUGCAUAUCAUGUACUAGAUACUGCACAUUGUUCAUGUACAUGUACAUGUACAUACAUGUAUGUGUACGUACGCGAACGUACGUAGGUACACCCACAAGAGUGAAGAUCAAGAGUGGUGGAGCACCAAGGCCAAGCGUGACUCCGCGUAUCCGGAUACGAGGUGGGAUAGAUAACCCGCCCGAGUAAUUCUGGUUGGUUUCCGAUGAGGUUUACCUUACUACCGUUACCUUACUACUAGCUUCAAAAAGACACAGAUACCCUGGGAGAACGCAGCUUCACUACCACGCCGGGGAAGGACCUUUUGUUAUGCUAAUGAGGUACGUUCUAUUAGCUUCUAAGGGUGGAUCAGAUUGCAAUACGAGAAACAAUCUACAGGUUGAGUCUCUCCUCCAUUGUCUCAUAUAAUUCCAAUUAUAUUGCAGGUAAGUACUUUACAUAAUUGGGGAAUUUUACGCGCACAAGAUAAAAUGAAGAGCAUGUAUUAUCACGUCG
rnacentral:misc_RNA from 1 species